CGGAGGCCGACGGAGCCGGAGUCGCCGACGCCGCGGGGUCUCCGGGACAGGUGACCGGAGGAGGGGGCCGGGAGCACGCCCGGAGAGGGCGGGGCCUGGCGCCCCACGUGGGGGGAACGGAGCGGGUGCAGGCGCGGCAGCGAGCCGCCCGCGGAGGCGGGGUCAGAGUACUCUGCGGGGGGCGGGGACUGGACGCCCACAUGGAAAGCUUCAGGGGCGCUGGCGGGGCGGGACGUCGGCGGGUGGGCCGGACCCGGGCGGGCCGAGCUGUGGGCGGGGCCGGGGCGUGGGUGGGUAGAAGAGGGUGGGGCUGAAAAGUUGUGCCCGGGCCGGGGGCGGAGCCAAAAUAUUGCCCGGAGAGCUAGGGGGCGGGACCGGGACGCGGGCCGAACGUGCUGGGGGCGGGGCCAGAAAGUUUUGCCUGAGCUUCCCGCGGGUCCGGAUCAUCGGCCCGCAAGUCAGGAGCGGAUCCAGAGGCUGACGCGAAGGCGGGGCGGGACCAAAAAGUUGUGGGUGGCGGGGGCCGUGGCCAGGGUCCUGGCGGAGAAUGAUGGGAGUGCAACCGGAAAGUUUUGCGGGACCCAGGGGUGCCGUCCGAGCGUUGGCACGCAAGCCGGCCCGGGAGCCAGAACCCUGACUGAGGGCGCAGGGGGCGGGACCGUGUUUCGAAGCGACGAGGCCGAGCUGGGAAGCAGGGGGCGUGACCGGGAGGUUGGCCGGGCGAGUCGGAGGCGGGGCCAGGGUGUUGGCUGGAGGGCCGUGGGCGGGGCCCAUGUAAUAACGCGAGAAGCAGGGGGCGGGUUCAGGUUGUUGCCCUGGGAUCCGGGGGGGUGGGGUCAGAGGGUUGGCUGGGAAAGUCAGAAGCUGGGCCGGAUUAACGAUGCGCGGGCGGGCGGGGUCUGAGGCCUAGCGGGUGGGGCGGGGCCAGAAAGUUAGUCCUGGAGUGGGGCGGGGCCGUGGCCUUCGGGACCAGUUUGAGGCUGGAGUUUCCCCCCCAUGCCCGGAAAGCCGCGCGCGGGCCGGGAGGUUCUGUCUGCGCCGGGCGGGGAAGUAUUCACUGGGGAGGUUGAGCCAGGUCCGGGAAACCUCGCCAUUGGGUACCAGGCUUGUUUUUGGAAUCUGGCGGGGUGUUGGGGAGACAGCGGCACCUUUCUCAGGAAGCUGGAGGCGUGGGCUUAAAAUGUUCUCCCAGGGUCAGGGCAGCCUAUAGGCGUGGAGAUCGGGCUUGUUUUGACUGUGGGGUUAUGGGACGAUUCUGACACGUCCCUGGGAGAGAGGUGGAUUUAGAGUGUUCACGGGGAUGGAGCAGCACCAGAAUGGACGCAGGAAGGUGGGCCUAGAAUUUUCUUGUACUGGUUGGGGGGUGAGAGGAUGUAUCUAAAGCUCUCUGGAGAUGGAGGUCUGGGUUAAAACUCCCAGCACUGGGGUGUGGAGGCUGGAUUGGAAUCUUCCUUUGGAAGGGAGCAUUGUUGGCUGUUUCCUUAAGCGGUGGGGUGGGGCCAGAACUUUUCCCAAGGUGGGUGUGACUCUAGUGUCUAAGAAGCAAGUGGGUGGGCACAAACCAUGGGAGGUGGCAGAGUCCAAAUUUGUGCAGGUAAGGGGCAGGCUAGCCCUUUAAGACAGAGUGGAAAUGAGGGCUAGAAUCCCCUUGGGGUGCAGGUGUUGUUAAUGCGCAUGUGUGUUUGAGAGGAGCCCCCAGUAUAGGAGAGGUGGAAGCAGACUGGGGAGUCAUUGGCCUUAGUGCUCCAUUCCCUCUGUCCUCAGGAACCCCUGGUGCUGUGUCCGGAUUCUGCAGGGGAAGUUUGCUGGGACCCUGGCCCCACCUAGCCAGUGGAAUGGUGAGAUGGAAAGUGGGGAGUCUCUGGAAUCUGAGCUUUGGGGCAGGGAGCUUGGGAGGAGGGGACCCACGACUCAGACCCUGGAUCGAAUGCACUGGGAUGGGUGUAGGUUUCUCUUGCUGUCUCUCAGCCGUCUCUUCUUCCUAGUCAGCCACACUGGAUCUGAAAUCGAAAGAGGAGAAAGAUGCCGAGUUGGACAAGAGGAUCGAAGCUCUUCGGCGAAAGAACGAGGCCCUCAUACGGCGCUACCAGGUGCCCUAGCCCCGCCCUGGGAGACCCCAUCCCCUCUCCUCCCCG
rnacentral:lncRNA from 1 species